rnacentral:rRNA from 1 species
UACGGGGGGGGCAAGCGUUGUUCGGAAUUACUGGGCGUAAAGGGCGCGUAGGCGGCCUGCUAAGUCGGACGUGAAAUCCCUCGGCUCAACCGAGGAACUGCGUCCGAUACUGGUGGGCUUGAAUCCGGGAGAGGGAUGUGGAAUUCCAGGUGUAGCGGUGAAAUGCGUAGAGAUCAGCAGGAACACCCGUGGCGAAGGCGGCCCCCUGGGCCGUACCUGACGCUGAGGCGCGAAGGCUAGGGGAGCGAACGGG